rnacentral:misc_RNA from 1 species
AAGUCGUAACAAGGUCUCCGUUGGUGAACCAGCGGAGGGAUCAUUACCGAGUUCUUACAGAACCCAACCCUUGUGUGAUAAGCUCUCACCCAGCUUUUACACGGGAGUCUCGGCCUAAUCGCCGAGGCAGUGUAAAAAAAAAACCUCUGUAUCAUUAUCACAAAUUUCUGAAGACUUUUUAAGAGUCAAAACUUUCAACAACGGAUCUCUUGGUUCUG